UUCGGUUGAUACAGUUGGGGCGCGCGUGCGGUGGAUGUUGUUCUUCUCUUUCUUCUUCCAUGCGUUUCGUAACACCUGUAAAUUGUGCUUCGCUUUACAGCCUAGCCACACAGCUUGCGCUCGCGCCUGUUCAGCGGAAAGCGUUUCGAAUGCUGCGUAUAGUGAGGGUGCCGUAUGAAAAUGAAGGAAAAUUUCCCCGAAAAUGAGUCAUAAGCUGAAAGCGCAAAAACGUUGCCAGCAACGUGGCAAAUUACACCAACGCGUGUUUGAAGGAAAUG